GUCCUGGAUAACUACUUGAAUAUUCAUAAAACUGAAUAUUUUAAUGAAAUCUACGUACAAUUCCCAAUAACACACCAGACAUUUCAGCUCUUCCAUUAACUUGUUUACCUAGAAUACAUGAUAGUAUUGACUACACUUUUUCUCCUAGAACAUCAACAUAACUUCCUAGUGAAAAAUCUAGAUAUUUAGAUUCUCCUUUGGGUUUCAUAAGUCCUUAUUCUUCAGUUUGGUACGAAGAAAUACCCAGAAACGUACGCCAACAAUUGAAGAAUGAGAAAGAAAUUCAAUUUUAUCUCGCUGUGUGAAAAACAUUUACUGUCACCCAGUAGUACAAUCUCAAACAAUGUGCAACGCGAGAAACCCUUAUGGUUUGGUACACAAAUUAUAUGAAACAAUUAGUGUUAACAAUCUACUUCUCAGACCUACAUCUCAUAAAUCAAGGAUAAAAUGUGAGUCUAUUUUGCAGUCAAAACUUAUG